AGACCCGACUAAUAGUAUAUGACUGUACAUUAAAUAUGUUAUUGGACAUGAAUGUAAAAAUAAAACUUUUUCAUACAAAAAAUAAAAUAAAAUAAAAAUAGAAUGCCAGAUCCUGAAGAUGAAACUAAAAUACUUUGACCACUUAAUGAGAAGGAAGGAGUCACUGGAGUAGAGUCUAAUGCUGGGAAAAAUCAAGGGCAAAAGAUGAAGGGGACGGCAGAGACUGAGGUGGCUGGAUGGAGUAACUGAAGCAGUUGGCGUGAGCUUAAAUGGUCUCCGGGGGAUGGUAGAAGACAGGAAGGCCUGGAGGAAAGUUGUCCAUGGAGUCGCGAAGAGUUGGACACAACUUCACAACUAACAACAACACCAGUUUAAUAUAUCAAUACAAUAAAAAAGCAAAAGAGAACAGAAAUAUGUAAAUCUUCAUAGUUAGACAUUAGCUUGCUGACCUUCUGCCAGGAAUUUUUCUUCUACUCCUACUUGGUCUCCUUCCUGAGUCCCAGCAGCCUUCUGGAUUAAGACAGGACCCAACACAAGGUCAGCUUCCAUUUCUCCUUUAGAGAUGUCAACUAUAGCUAGCCAAACACAAAACAAAUUUUGAUUAUGACAAGAGUCCGAUCCCAGGCUUUAUCAUAAACUCACACUUGCCUGUUCCCUAUAAAAGGGGCAAGAGAUCCAAGUGUGUGUAAUUCAUCUUCAAUAGUAAACUGAAGCACUAUUUCUAAUAUAAUUUAUGAAUGUGUACAGGGUAUUCUUUCAUUAUGAGGCAGGGUUCUGGGAAACUUUAUCUUGCUAAUAUAGAAGUUACUGUUCUUUAUCUAGGGCAUUAUUUCUAUUUCAACCUACCAUAAUUUCUGUUUGAACCAGUUUCUUUCCUUUGGCUGGGCAUAUGAAGACUGCUGGUAUUACUUGAUUUGUGCUUUCCAGAACUACAAUCUCCAGUCUCACAGCAGUUACAGAUUUCCAUGGAACCCUCUACAGAUAGCUUAACACAAAAACAUCAGCCCAACAUUCUGUAUCCAUAUUCUGCAAUAUUACCUGCAAGUUUUGGAUACACUCAUGGAGCUCCACUUUGAAGAUAAUCAAGCUAACUCAAACCUAGGAGGACUGGAUGACUCACCUGACCCCAUCACCAACCCAACAGCGAUUAUUCCACCAGGGUUUGAAGAAACAGCCACCAAUAAUCCACAAAAUAGGGACCCAAUGGAAGAGCUGGGAGGCGCGGAAAACACCUCUGACCCAAUGGAAGAACUGGGAAGUGGGGAGGGCACCUCCGACCAGCAUUUGUCCCCCGCCACAGCUGAGCAUGUUUCCCCCGCCAAAACUGAACUGCACAGGUCAAGUAGAAACAGAGAACGCCUGAAUUAUCUACGCGAUUAUUAUGAAUAUUAUUACAAUUGCUAAAUAUGCAAAACCUGGGUGAAGUGCAAUUCAGGUGGGGAGGAGUGUUGUGUAUGAUCCCAUUUGUGCAUGAUCCCACUGGUGGGAAAUUCCAGUGGGAAAUUCCAGCGGGAAAUUCCAGCAGGAAAACAUUUGAAUUCUAUUGGUGGCCAACUGAUCCCAAGUGUGUAUAUAAGGAGAGCAUCCUGCCUGCACCUUUUGCGGAAGUCUCACUCUAAA